rnacentral:rRNA from 1 species
UGAGGAAUUUUGCGCAAUGGGGGGAACCCUGACGCAGCAACGCCGCGUGGGUGAUGAAGGCCUUCGGGUCGUAAAGCCCUGUCGGGCGGGAAGAACGUCACUACGGGGAAUGACGGUACCGCCAGAGGAAGCACCGGCUAACUCCGUGCCAGCAGCCGCGGUAAUACGGAGGGUGCAAGCGUUAUUCGGAAUUACUGGGCGUAAAGGGCGUGCAGGCGGGAGAGCAAGUCUGAUGUGAAAGCCCGGGGCUUAACCCCGGAAGUGCAUUGGAAACUGCUGUUCUUGAGUUCUGGAGAGGAAGGGAGAAUUCCCGGUGUAGAGGUGAAAUUCGUAGAGAUCGGGAGGAACAUCAGUGGCGAAGGCGACCUUCCGGACAGCAACUGACGCUGGGACGCGAAAGCGUGGGGAGCAAACA